rnacentral:lncRNA from 1 species
GUGCUUGCCAGAUGCUGUGCGCGGAACCAAGGCCCAGGCCAGCAGGCGUCCGGAACAGGGUGUUGCCCAGCAGGGGCAUGUGGGCUGUGGUGGAGGUUGAAGCACUUGGUCCACGACAAACCUCAACCCAUCAGCAGCCUUGCCAUCCCCGUCAGGGAUCCCGUGGCCUUGGGCACUGGUGCCUGGGCUCCAGAGUCUGACCUCAAACGGUCUCCCCUAAAGGCACACUGCACGCAGCCUCCUGCCAGAGCCCUAGGCCCCCGCCUUCACGGCUGUGACCCAGUGCCCUCAUUUCUAGCUUACAGAGCUGGCCGGAAGGACCUGGCAGAAGUGGGGGGCCUGAGGUCCCUUUCGCCAAGCUCCCCGGGGAGGCUGUCUUGUAAGGGGUGCUUCCAUCGCUUGACAUCUCAAGCCUCCCCUGGGGAGGCGUGCAAGACAGCGUCUGCUAGAGUCCGCCAGCCACGCGGGAAGCCCGUGCAAGGUGCUCCUCUCACCACGGCUCCAGCACUUUCCCUGGCUCUUCUCACCCACACCCCUAUACCUCUGGCCUCCACCCUGCCGGCGGAACCUCCAGCUGACUUGACCAGAAUCCCACCGGACACUACUGCCAUGAGCACAGCUCCAGCUCACUCGUGUUGGCCAUUUCCCAACUCAGGCCACGGCCGCGUGAGCUGUCGCGUUGAAACGUUCCUCUCGCGCUGGAACACGAUCCAGGUCUUGUUCUUCCCCGUGCCGGCGCACUUCCAGUCCCAGCAAGGGCACCUGUCCUGCCACCGACCAGUGGCCUCAUUCCGGGGAGGCCCCACACACAGGGAGGGAGAGACCGACAGCCCCUCAGUCGCCAACCCUGACGCGCCAGAAGCUGCUCGAGAUGGAAAUCAGGAAAAGAACACAGACGAAGGCCUGGGAGAAAGAAGAACAAGACGCCCCAGGCAGCCCUCAGAUGCUCGAAGCACCCAGUAUCAUGUCUGGGCCGAAUGUCCGCUGGCGCCCACCCUUCCCGUCCUUGGAGUCGGCUGAGCUGAACGCAAGUGAGGCUCAACCCUUGGCCCUUCCACGGUCUACUUUUCCCUCCUCUGCCACCCGUGAUUCCGGCACCCGCUUGAAGGCCGACAGUGCAGAGUUCUCGGGAAAACCUCUUGAGCCCCACCCAGGAGAGAAACAAAAGACUUUGACCACAAAAGCAUCAGUUCCGCGCCUGGCCCCUCCCCUCCCUUCAACUUCCCCUGUGAGUGAGGAAAACCAGAAGGCCCCGGGAGGGACCCUACCUGGCAAUGGCUGUGGGCCCUCCGAGCCUCUCUGAUGGGACAGCAGGGCCGGCCGCCUUCUCCGAGCUUCGCAUUCAGCCUCUCGGACAGAAAUGG